AUGCUAUGGAGGGAAGAAAGAGGCAAGAAUCGGUCACCAUGCUGAAGUGUCAAAUUGUAACCCAAGAGAAAUAGCAAAAUGUCUGUAUCUGUAACAUUUAACAAACACAAAGAAAACCAGUGACAGGUGUAAGGGGCUAUUCUGGCACCCACGUUGCUGGACUCUACGACCCUGAUCUGCACUGCGGAGCCUCCAUUAGAGCUAGCUGUCUUCUAUCUAGACUCUGCCCAGACGAGCCCUCCGAUGCACAUGGAGAAAGCCUUGAGAAAUUAGCAAAUUCUCUUUUCAUAUUUUCCCAAUUUUUAAAAAUUAAAAAUUUAUUUUGUGGUUAGUGUUGGUGUACUGACUUUACCUUUCAUUCUUUCAAACCACUUACCUAGAGUAAUAACAAGUCAUUGCCCCUCUUAGGAGCUUUUGGGACAUCACUUUCCUUGUAGGCCUUCCAGGAUUCAUACCUAUUUCUCCAGUAUUAUGGCCACUCGGAGCUCCCUUAGGGGCAAAAGCUGUGUCUAAUUCAUCUUUAGAGCCUUAACACCUGGCGCUGUGCAUGGCAUCUAAUAAAUGUUUGCCACACUAGAUAUAUCACCAUUACCUCAACUAUAGUUACCAGACCCAUCCAAGGACUUACUCUGAAGAACUGUACUAUAGUUGGCUAUCCCAUUUUUAUUCUGAUAAACUCUACGAUUACUGUAAGUAUUUUGGGGGAUAAUCUGUGCCUUCUCCCUGAAUCAAUUUAGUGACAAUGUUAGCCUUUGAUGAUCUUGUUAGUGUCAAAUGGAAAGCAUGACUUAGGUUGCUGAAGUCCUAAUGACAACUAUCUUCUGCUGUCACACUCUUAUCAAAGUCUGUUUCAGUUAUAGGCAGAGAAUGUUCCUUUCGCAGUGAUAAUCAACUGAAAGAUAUUUUCAUGGGCUAAGAUUCAAGUUUCUAAGUUUAUGCAUAAUAAAGACUCUUACAUAAAAAAGUUGACAUGGUCAAUGAAGUAAUGCACUGUACGAAUCAUGGUGGGGAAGGGACCAUAGGAAAAGAAUGGAAGAAAAUAACAUACACAUAAUCCAUUCGUACUAAGAGACGGCCAAAAGAUGCUAUAUUGGGCUGAACAAAUUUACAGUAGUUUCAAAAAGAGGGGCGCCUGGGUGGCUCAGUUACUUAAGCGUCCGACUCUUGAUUUCAGCUCAGGUCAUGACCUCGUGGUUUGGUGAGUUCGAGACCCACAUGGGACUCCAUGCUGACAGCACAGAGCCUGCUUUGGAUUCUCUCUCUCUCUCCCUCUCUCUC